rnacentral:tRNA from 1 species
AGCACAAUAGCUUAAUGGUAGAGCAUCGAAUUCAUAUUUCGUAAAGUGAGAGUUCGAGUCUCUCUUUUGCUA